AUAGGAACCACGUUUCACUUUCCCGUUGACGGACACCGGGGUCGACCCACACCUCGGCUGCUGUGAACAAGGUCUUCCGUGAACGUGGACGGCAGGAGUCUCUUUGGCGGGUGGAUUUCAUCUCCUCUGUGUGCAAGUCGAGAAGCGGGAUUGCUGGUCACACGAGAAGAGUGACCAGAAAAAGAGUCCACGCAUGCUCAGUACGGGUGUGGGGUUUCUCCCCCAAACAUUUUCCAUCUGAGGCGGUUGACCCUGAGGACGUGGAACCUGCGGAGACAGAGGGCCCACGUGAGCAUGUCCUUCCCGUCCUGAGCCUGCCCCUGUCUCUUGAGAGGCUCUGGCAGCAGCCCCACCCCCAGCCGUUGGCUUCGAGGUCCCAUCCUCCAGGGACCAGCAGGGAUCAGGGAAGAGAUGAGUGAGCCCGCAAGACCUCUCAGUGCCAGCAAGUCAGGAAACGGGACCGUGGUGGAUUGAAACCCGUCGGAUAAGAGACCACAAGUCCCCGCUCCAGAGAGGGAGAAAGAAUAACUUCUCAGUGGAGAAACCUGAUAGCCACCGUCCUAACGAAUGACCACAUUUAAAAAUUUAACAUCACCACUGAUGUCACAAAUGCAGAACACCCAGUAGCGCCACCAGACAAGGUCCUGCCACAAACACUUAUCCUGACUCUGGCCACGAGCAAACAGCAGCCAAACCCAAAUUCUACCAAAUAACUGAUCUGGAACCUUCCCAGGCACCACAGCCGUGGAAGGGAGCACUGAGCUACCGGCCCAGACUGAAAAUGGCCUGACAACCUCACACCUCAGGACAUUGCAGGGGGUCCCCCAAUACAGGGACACUUUGGGGACAGUUGGCAAGGCUGGUGUGGGGUCUCCGGAGUGGAAACGAUCAACUAGUAAACUCUCAACCCUAACUGUGA